GCCCUUAGAGUUUGAUCCUGGCUCAGAACGAACGCUGGCGGCAGGCUUAACACAUGCAAGUCGAGCGCCCCGCAAGGGGAGCGGCAGACGGGUGAGUAACGCGUGGGAAUCUACCCAACCCUACGGAAUAACGCAUGGAAACGUGUGCUAAUACCGUAUACGCCCUACGGGGGAAAGAUUUAUCGGGGAUGGAUGAGCCCGCGUUGGAUUAGCUAGUUGGUGGGGUAAAGGCCUACCAAGGCGACGAUCCAUAGCUGGUCUGAGAGGAUGAUCAGCCACAUUGGGACUGAGACACGGCCCAAACUCCUACGGGAGGCAGCAGUGGGGAAUAUUGGACAAUGGGCGCAAGCCUGAUCCAGCCAUGCCGCGUGAGUGAUGAAGGCCCUAGGGUUGUAAAGCUCUUUCACCGAUGAAGAUAAUGACGGUAGUCGGAGAAGAAGCCCCGGCUAACUUCGUGCCAGCAGCCGCGGUAAUACGAAGGGGGCUAGCGUUGUUCGGAAUUACUGGGCGUAAAGCGCACGUAGGCGGAUAUUUAAGUCAGGGGUGAAAUCCCGCAGCUCAACUGCGGAACUGCCUUUGAUACUGGGUAUCUU
rnacentral:rRNA from 1 species